rnacentral:rRNA from 1 species
AACGUUACNNNNNNNNNNCCUCGGCGGGAUCUUCUGCCCCGGGUGCGUCGCAGCCCCGGACCAAGGCGCCCGCCGGAGGAAUCAACCAAAACUCUUAUUGUAUACCCCCUCGCGGGUUUUUUUUAUAAUCUGAGCCUUCUCGGCGCCUCUCGUAGGCGUUUCGAAAAUGAAUCAAAACUUUCAACAACGGAUCUCUUGGUUCUGGCAUCGAUGAAGAACGCAGCGAAAUGCGAUAAGUAAUGUGAAUUGCAGAAUUCAGUGAAUCAUCGAAUCUUUGAACGCACAUUGCGCCCGCCAGUAUUCUGGCGGGCAUGCCUGUCCGAGCGUCAUUUCAACCCUCGAACCCCUCCGGGGGGUCGGCGUUGGGGAUCGGCCUUCCUUCACGGGGGCCGUCUCCGAAAUACAGUGGCGGUCUCGCCGCAGCCUCUCCUGCGCAGUAGUUUGCACACUCGCAUCGGGAGCGCGGCGCGUCCACAGCCGUUAAACACCCAACUUUCUGAAAUGUUGACCUCGGAUCAGGUAGGAAUACCCGCUGAACUUAA